rnacentral:rRNA from 1 species
GACGAACGCUGGCGGCGUGCUUAACACAUGCAAGUCGAACGGAAAGGCCCUGCUUUUGUGGGGUGCUCGAGUGGCGAACGGGUGAGUAACACGUGAGUAACCUGCCCUUGACUUUGGGAUAACUUCAGGAAACUGGGGCUAAUACCGGAUAGGAGCUCCUGCUGCAUGGUGGGGGUUGGAAAGUUUCGGCGGUUGGGGAUGGACUCGCGGCUUAUCAGCUUGUUGGUGGGGUAGUGGCUUACCAAGGCUUUGACGGGUAGCCGGCCUGAGAGGGUGACCGGCCACAUUGGGACUGAGAUACGGCCCAGACUCGUACGGGAGGCAGCAGUGGGGAAUAUGGCACAAUGGGCGGAAGCCUGAUGCAGCAACGCCGCGUGCGGGAUGACGGCCUUCGGGUUGUAAACCGAUUUCGCCUGUGACGAAGCGGGAGUGACGGUAAUGGGUAAAGAAGCACCGGCUAACUACGUG